rnacentral:pre_miRNA from 1 species
UAAUUUUUCUAAGGCAAAUCCUGAUCUAGUUGUGACAGACUCAUACCUAAUGGCUUAAAAUCACCCGUUAUCGCAGAUCUGACUAUAUAUAUAUAUAAUGAUCUAACAACUAAUAUUCUAUAAGCCUAACUUGAUGGC